rnacentral:rRNA from 1 species
GACGAACGCUGGCGGCGUGCUUAACACAUGCAAGUCGAACGGAAAGGCCCUGCUUUUGUGGGGUGCUCGAGUGGCGAACGGGUGAGUAACACGUGAGUAACCUGCCCUUGACUUUGGGAUAACUUCAGGAAACUGGGGCUAAUACCGGAUAGGAGCUCCUGCUGCAUGGUGGGGGUUGGAAAGUUUCGGCGGUUGGGGAUGGACUCGCGGCUUAUCAGCUUGUUGGUGGGGUAGUGGCUUACCAAGGCUUUGACGGGUAGCCGGCCUGGGAGGGUGACCGGCCACAUGGGGACUGCGAUACGGCCCAGACGCCUACGGGAGGCAGCAGUGGGGAGUAUUGCACAAUGGGCGGAAGCCUGAUGCAGCAACGCCGCGUGCGGGAUGACGGCCUUCGGGUUGUAAACCGCUUUCGCCUGUGACGAAGCGUGAGUGACGGUAAUGGGUAAAGAAGCACCGGCUAACUACGUG